rnacentral:lncRNA from 1 species
CCUUUUUUUUUCCUUCUACGUCUAUACCUGCUGAAAUCAACUCAACUCCCUUCUCUUUCAGCUGACGCGGCUUGUGGGUAGGCAACGAACUACUAACAUUUUCACAACUACAACUUAUGCCUGCACCCUUGACUCGACAUGUAUGUAUUGCAAACUGACAAGAUCUUUACGAUAUAUCUCCUCUCUCUACAGCUUUCAAGCUCAAGAGUCAAGAAGUAACAUAAUAAAAAUAUUGGCUUCAAUUAGAGCCCUGAACAAGUCCUGCCAAGGUAAUUGCUAGUAAGUUCCGCCAAGGUAAUUGUGAACCUGGCAAUUUUCAAAGAUUGAAACUUCAAGAGAAGGGAAUUAUGUAGGAUAUUUC